CGGACGGGUGAGUAACGCGUGGGUAACCUGCCUUGUACUGGGGGACAACAGUUGGAAACGACUGCUAAUACCGCAUAAGCGCACAGUGCUGCAUGGCACAGUGUGAAAAACUCCGGUGGUAUGAGAUGGACCCGCGUCUGAUUAGCUAGUUGGUGGGGUAACGGCCUACCAAGGCGACGAUCAGUAGCCGGCCUGAGAGGGUGAACGGCCACAUUGGGACUGAGACACGGCCCAAACUCCUACGGGAGGCAGCAUG
rnacentral:rRNA from 1 species